rnacentral:rRNA from 1 species
AGAGUUUGAUCCUGGCUCAGGACGAACGCUGGCGGCGCGCCUAACACAUGCAAGUCGAACGAGCGAGAGAGAGCUUGCUUUCUCGAGCGAGUGGCGAACGGGUGAGUAACGCGUGAGGAACCUGCCUCAAAGAGGGGGACAACAGUUGGAAACGACUGCUAAUACCGCAUAAGCCCACGGGUCGGCAUCGACCAGAGGGAAAAGGAGCAAUCCGCUUUGAGAUGGCCUCGCGUCCGAUUAGCUAGUUGGUGAGGUAAUGGCCCACCAAGGCGACGAUCGGUAGCCGGACUGAGAGGUUGAACGGCCACAUUGGGACUGAGACACGGCCCAGACUCCUACGGGAGGCAGCAGUGGGGAAUAUUGCACAAUGGGGGAAACCCUGAUGCAGCGACGCCGCGUGGAGGAAGAAGGUCUUCGGAUUGUAAACUCCUGUUGUUGGGGAAGAUAAUGACGGUACCCAACAAGGAAGUGAUGCUAACUACGUGCCAGCAGCCGCGGUAAAACGUAGGUCACAAGCGUUGUCCGGAAUUACUGGGUGUAAAGGGAGCGCAGGCGGGAAGAUAAGUUGGAAGUGAAAUCUAUGGGCUCAACCCAUAAACUGCUUUCAAAACUGUUUUUCUUGAGUAGUGCAGAGGUAGGCGGAAUUCCCGGUGUAGCGGUGGAAUGCGUAGAUAUCGGGAGGAACACCAGUGGCGAAGGCGGCCUACUGGGCACCAACUGACGCUGAGGCUCGAAAGUGUGGGUAGCAAACAGGAUUAGAUACCCUGGUAGUCCACACCGUAAACGAUGAUUACUAGGUGUUGGAGGAUUGACCCCUUCAGUGCCGCAGUUAACACAAUAAGUAAUCCACCUGGGGAGUACGACCGCAAGGUUGAAACUCAAAGGAAUUGACGGGGGCCCGCACAAGCAGUGGAGUAUGUGGUUUAAUUCGACGCAACGCGAAGAACCUUACCAAGUCUUGACAUCCCUUGACAGUCAUAGAAAUAUGUAAUCUCUUCGGAGCAAGGAGACAGGUGGUGCAUGGUUGUCGUCAGCUCGUGUCGUGAGAUGUUGGGUUAAGUCCCGCAACGAGCGCAACCCUUAUGGUCAGUUACUACGCAAGAGGACUCUGGCCAGACUGCCGUUGACAAAACGGAGGAAGGUGGGGAUGACGUCAAAUCAUCAUGCCCUUUAUGACUUGGGCUACACACGUACUACAAUGGCGUUAAACAAAGAGAAGCAAGACCGCGAGGUGGAGCAAAACUCAGAAACAACGUCCCAGUUCGGACUGCAGGCUGCAACUCGCCUGCACGAAGUCGGAAUUGCUAGUAAUCGUGGAUCAGCAUGCCACGGUGAAUACGUU